rnacentral:tRNA from 1 species
GGGCCUAUAGUUCAGUGGUAGAACGCAUCCAUGGCAUGGAUGAGGUCGGAGUCCGAUUCUCCGUAGGUCCA